AGUGAAAUAGAACCUGAAACCCUGCACUUACAAGCUGUGGAAGCACAUUUCUUGUGUGACCGCGUACUUUUUGUAGAACGGGCCAACGAGUUACGUUAAGUAGCAAGGUUAAGCACUUAAGGUGCGGAGCCGUAGCGAAAGCGAGUUUUAACUGAGCGUUCAGUUACUUGACGUAGACCCGAAACCGGGCGACCUACCCAUGAGCAGGAUGAAGCGAAAGUAAAAUUUCGUGGAGGUCCGAACCCACGAGCG
rnacentral:rRNA from 1 species